AUUGAACGCUGGCGGCAUGCCUUACACAUGCAAGUCGAACGGUAACAGGUCUUCGGAUGCUGACGAGUGGCGAACGGGUGAGUAAUACAACGGAACGUGCCCGAUCGUGGGGGAUAACGAAGCGAAAGCUUUGCUAAUACCGCAUACGAUCUACGGAUGAAAGCAGGGGACCGCAAGGCCUUGCGCGAACGGAGCGGCCGAUGGCAGAUGAGGUAGUUGGUGGGAUAAAAGCUUACCAAGCCGACGAUCUGUAGCUGGUCUGAGAGGACGACCAGCCACACUGGGACUGAGACACGGCCCAGACUCCUACGGGAGGCAGCAGUGGGGAAUUUUGGACAAUGGGCGAAAGCCUGAUCCAGCCAUGCCGCGUGCAGGAUGAAGGCCUUCGGGUUGUAAACUGCUUUUGUACGGAACGAAAAGACUCUGGUUAAUACCUGGGGUCCAUGACGGUACCGUAAGAAUAAGCACCGGCUAACUACGUG
rnacentral:rRNA from 1 species